AAGUGUGAGAGUAUCAUGGGAGGAAAAUUGCUGAUGGGAGAUAAAGUCCAGGGCUCUUAGAAUGCACAAUUGAUUACUAUAUCUUACAACAGGUCAAGCCCAAAAUCACAAAAGAUAGCAUCUUCCCAUGUCCAGAUGGACUGCUCUAUAUGCCUGGUCCUCACCUGGGUGACAUUUUGUGACCAGAAGAGAAAGGCCAAGAGAAACGAACAUCAGCUUCUCUAACCUAUUUAUAGCCAGGAUGAUAGAAUCACAAGAUUUUCAAGGUUUACAGGUGAUGGGCUGCUCUCAAAAGGAGCUUUGUUGUGAAAACGUACCAAAAGAAAAUGGAUGAGUGAUUCUCCAGUACGUUGCUUUUCAAUCCUAUGACAUCCUCACCUCUGCCCUAUGGGUAGAUUCUUUGAUGUCUGAAAAGUUUCUGUACAUAAAGAGGAACAUUCA
rnacentral:lncRNA from 1 species